rnacentral:rRNA from 1 species
GACGAACGCUGGCGGCGUGCUUAACACAUGCAAGUCGAGCGGUAAGGCCCUUUCGGGGGUACACGAGCGGCGAACGGGCGAGUAACACGUGGGUGACCUGCCCUCAGCUCUGGGAUAAGCCUGGGAAACCGGGUCUAAUACUGGAUAUGACUCCAUGACGCAUGUUGUGGGGUGGAAAGCCUUGUGCGGCUGAGGAUGGGCCCGCGGCCUAUCAGCUUGUUGGUGGGGUGANGGCCUACCAAGGCGACGACGGGUAGCCGGCCUGAGAGGGCGACCGGCCACACUGGGACUGAGACACGGCCCAGACUCCUACGGGAGGCAGCAGUGGGGAAUCUUGCGCAAUGGGCGAAAGCCUGACGCAGCGACGCCGCGUGAGGGAUGACGGCCU